UGACGGUAACUUACCAGAAAGGGACGGCUAACUACGUGCCAGCAGCCGCGGUAAUACGUAGGGGGCAAGCGUUAUCCGGAUUUACUGGGUGUAAAGGGAGCGUAGACGGAGUGGCAAGUCUGAUGUGAAAGGCAUGGGCUCAACCUGUGGGCUGCAUUGGAAACUGUCAUUCUUGAGUGCCGGAGGGGUAAGCGGAAUUCCUAGUGUAGCGGUGAAAUGCGUAGAUAUUAGGAGGAACACCAGUGGCGAAGGCGGCUUGCUGGACGACAACUGACGCUGAGGCGCGAAAGCGUGGGGAGCAAACAGGAUUAGAUACCCUG
rnacentral:rRNA from 1 species